UACGUAGGGGACGAGCGUUGUCCGGAAUUACUGGGCGUAAAGGGCGCGCAGGCUGUAGAUCAAGUCAGCUGUGAAAUGUCUGGGCUUAACCCGGGCAUGCGGUUGAAACUGAUGUACUGGAGUGCUGUAGAGGCAAGUGGAAUUCCCAGUGUAGCGGUGAAAUGCGUAGAUAUUGGGAAGAACACCGGUGGCGAAGGCGACUUGCUGGGCAGCAACUGACGCUGAGGCGCGAAAGCCAGGGGAGCAAACGGGAUUAGAUA
rnacentral:rRNA from 1 species